UCUCCUAAUACGAGAUACUGCUGACGGUAUCUGCAGAAUAAGCACCGGCUAACUACGUGCCAGCAGCGCGGUAAUACGUAGGGUGCAAGCGUUAAUCGGAAUUACUGGGCGUAAAGCGUGUGUAGGCGGUUCGGAAAGAAAGAUGUGAAAUCCCAGGGCUCAACCUUGGAACUGCAUUUUUAACUGCCGAGCUAGAGUAUGUCAGAGGGGGGUAGAAUUCCACGUGUAGCAGUGAAAUGCGUAGAUAUGUGGAGGAAUACCGAUGGCGAAGGCAGCCCCCUGGGAUAAUACUGACGCUCAGACACGAAAGCGUGGGGAGCAAACAGGAUUAGAUACCCUGGUAGUCCACGCCCUAAACGAUGUCAACUAGCUGUUGGGGCCGUUAGGCCUUAGUAGCGCAGCUAACGCGUGAAGUUGACCGCCUGGGGAGUACGGUCGCAAGAUUAAAACUCAAAGGAAUUGACGGGGACCCGCACAAGCGGUGGAUGAUGUGGAUUAAUUCGAUGCAACGCGAAAAACCUUACCUACCCUUGACAUGUCUGGAAUGCCGAAGAGAUUUGGCAGUGCUCGCAAGAGAACCGGAACACAGGUGCUGCAUGGCUGUCGUCAGCUCGUGUCGUGAGAUGUUGGGUUAAGUCCCGCAACGAGCGCAACCCUUGUCAUUAGUUGCUACGCAAGAGCACUCUAAUGAGACUGCCGGUGACAAACCGGAGGAAGGUGGGGAUGACGUCAAGUCCUCAUGGCCCUUAUGGGUAGGGCUUCACACGUCAUACAAUGGUCGGGACAGAGGGUCGCCAACCCGCGAGGGGGAGCCAAUCUCAGAAACCCGAUCGUAGUCCGGAUCGCAGUCUGCAACUCGACUGCGUGAAGUCGGAAUCGCUAGUAAUCGCGGAUCAGAAUGUCGCGGUGAAUACGUUCCCGGGUCUUGUACACACCGCCCGUCACACCAUGGGAGUGGGUUUCACCAGAAGUAGGUAGCCUAACCGUAAGGAGGGCGCUUACCACGGUGGGAUUCAUGACUGGGGUGAAGUCGUAACAAGGUAACCGUAAAUCUCUAGAGGUCCCCGGGACCGGUUUUUGU
rnacentral:rRNA from 1 species